GUGACAGGAGAGAAAACAACGGUUUGAGAAAAAAAAACGGUCGUUACUUAAGUCUUUAAAUUUCUGAAGUUCAUUUCUUAAGGUUUAUAGCGACUGAAUAUUUGGUUUUGUUGUGCUGAAAGGGAGUGAACUGAAUCCUGUUGAAGUCUGUAAAGUCACGCUAGAAACAUCAAUGCUGUGACCACUUGUGAGCUGAUGCUGAGUAGCCUAGCCUGUGCUAGCUGAUGGAGAAGAGUGUGUGCAAGGAGGAAAAGUAUAGCUGCUCCGGGUUUCUGAUGUACUUGGAUCUGCGGUGCGGUGAAGUGCUCAGGGACUCCUUCCUGCAGAAAAGGCUGCUACACACGUGUUUCUGAGGGGUUUCUCAUCCUACAACUGCCAUGACUGCGAACUGUGAAAUGGUUACCUUCUCUUUGGUGUCAAAGGAACUGUUCCAGUGCAUGUGUUACCAACACCAGCGCAAACAGGCCUGACGGUGAAGGGCAGUCAUGGCAGGCCUCCUUGCAGCCUUAUGAGACCGGAUAUUGGCUGCGUGAAGUCUGUUCCGAAUUGCAGAGAGCCAGCUUUAUCGUACUGCAAAUCUGUAGAAGACAGCCUACGGUUCCUACGUGCUGACACGUUCUCUUGCUGACAGUUUGCAUACCCCUCCACUUCCCCAUCACUGUCCAUCUUCGCAGAAUCAUCAGCCAUCAAGGCCUCACCCAUUCAGCCUCUGCAAGCCCUCAGCGGCCAUCACCAGUGUCUGUAAGAGUUAUUCUGCUGUCACUUGGAUCAUUCCUCUAUCUUAUC